rnacentral:rRNA from 1 species
AGCAGCCGCGGUAAUUCCAGCUCCAAUAGCGUAUAUUAAAGUUGUUGCAGUUAAAAAGCUCGUAGUUGAAUUUCGGGAUCAAUAUGUUGGUCGUGCCUUGGUACGUACUAAUUUAUUGGUUUCUUCCUUCUGACGAACCAUGAUGUCAUUAAUUUUGUGUCUUGGGGAAUCAGGACUGUUACUUUGAAAAAAUUAGAGUGUUUAAAGCAGGCUCACGCUUGAAUACAUUAGCAUGGAAUAAUGAAAUAGGACGUUUGAUUCUAUUUUGUUGGUUUCUAGGAUCGACGUAAUGAUUAAUAGGGAUAGUUGGGGGCAUUAGUAUUCAAUUGUCAGAGGUGAAAUUCUUGGAUUUAUUGAAGACUAACUACUGCGAAAGCAUUUGCCAAGGAUGUUUUCAUUAAUCAAGAACGAAGGUUAGGGGAUCGAAGACGAUCAGAUACCGUCGUAGUCUUAACCAUAAACUAUGCCGACUAGGGAUCGGAUGAUGUUAAUUUUUAAUGACUCAUUCGGCGCCUUAAC